AACGAACGCUGGCGGCAGGCUUAACACAUGCAAGUCGAGCGCCCCGCAAGGGGAGCGGCAGACGGGUGAGUAACGCGUGGGAAUCUACCCAUCUCUACGGAAUAACGCAGGGAAACGUGUGCUAAUACCGGAUACGUCCUACGGGAGAAAGAUUUCUCGGAGAUGGAUGAGCCCGCGUGGGAUUAGCUAGUUGGUGGGGUAAAGGCCUACCAAGGCGACGAUCCAUAGCUGGUCUGAGAUGAUGAUCAGCCACACUGGGACUGAGACACGGCCCAGACUCCUACGGGAGGCAGCAGUGGGGAAUAUUGGACAAUGGGCGCAAGCCUGAUCCAGCCAUGCCGCGUGAGUGAUGAAGGCCCUAGGGUUGUAAAGCUCUUUCACCGGUGAAGAUAAUGACGGUAACCGGAGAAGAAGCCCCGGCUAACUUCGUGCCAGCAGCCGCCGUAAAAC
rnacentral:rRNA from 1 species